UUGCUUCAGCAGCAUAUAUACAAAAUUGGAAAGAUACAGAGAAGAUUAGCAUGGCAUCUGCACAAGGAUGACACACAAAUUUGUGUAUAUAAUUGCUGUGGU
ensembl:snRNA U6 U6 spliceosomal RNA